AGUGAGGGCAUUCUGUUAUUUUGUGGUCAGGCAUUGGGUAAUUGUUGGCCAUCUUGGCCAACAAGGGAACAUCGUUGGCUCGUGGUCAGCUGUUGGUCAGUGGUUGGCCACCAGGAUGUCAGUGGCCAUCUUGGCCAACAAGGGAACAUCGUUGGCUCGUGGUCAGCUGUUGGUCAGUGUUUGGUGACUGGGAUGUGGGUGGCCAUUGUGGCAAACGAGGGCGUGCCAUUGGCUCGUUGGCCAACAUGGCCAAUUGUUGGCCACGGGGACACCAGUGGCCAUCUUGGCCAGUGAGGGCAUUCUGUCAAUUUGUGGUCAGCCAUUGGCCAAUUGUUGGCCACCAGGAUGUCAGUGGCCAUCUUGGCCAACAAGGGAACAUUGUUGGCUCGUGGUCAGCUGUUGGUCAGUUGUUGGUCACUGGGAUGUCAGUGGCCAUUGUGGCAAAUGAAGGCAUAUCAUUGGCUCGUGGUCAGCGGUUGGCCACCAGGAUGUCAGUGGCCAUUGUGUCAAACAAGGGCGUUCCAUUGGCUCACGGUCAACUGUUGGCCAACAAGAUGCUAAUGACUAUCUUGGCCAACGAGGGCAUGCCAUUGGCUUGUAGCCAACCAACGGUCAACCGGGCUGCUAGUAGCCACCUUAUGAACCAAAGAAGGCACGCGAGCGGCUCACGGUCAACCAAUGACCACCGGGAUGCCAACAACCAAUCGUGACCAAUAACAGCACGCCGUCGGCUUGUGAUCAACCACUAGCCAACCUUUGGCCACCAUUUGCCCUUUCUCCUCCCAACUUCAGCGAGCCCACCUUGGCCAGGGCACCCGCACCAACAUCUACGACGGCAUCCUGACCGUCCGCGGCGCCGCCGGUGCCGCCGAGCCCCAAUAUUUCCCCACCGAACAGAACAACAACGACAGCGACGGGCGCCAGAUUCGCGUGGUGCUCAAAGUUUUGGACCCCACCCACCGCGACGUCGCCCUGGUGAGACCCCCCCCCAAUUUUUUUGGUGUUUUGCUUAUUUGAUUUUCAAGAUUCCACAUCGAAACGUCGCGGACUGGAAGUGUUAAUGCUGUAAUUCUAUGCACCUGUCCCUAUAAAUUAUGGAAGUCAUGGGAUCUGACCCUUCUGGGGGGGUGGGGGGGGGUCUCUUACUGCCUGGCAGUGGGUGCUGGAGGUGCUUUCCCAGCCAUUCCUUUCCCAGCCAUUCCUUUCCCAGCCAUUCCAAGCUUUUUUAUUACUCUCAAUU
rnacentral:lncRNA from 1 species